rnacentral:lncRNA from 1 species
ACAAAAACAUAUAAAUACUCCAUUUUCAUCACUCAAAGAGAGAUGAUUUUCAAAUCAAAGUCAAAUUUUGUUAAAUUUGUAGCCCAACUUACUCCUAUUGUGCUCACCUAUAUAUAGCUACCUCCACUCAUUUCAUAAACUAUUGAACCAAUUUGAAAAAUCACUUUAAAGCUAGUCUUUUCUCUCUCAUUUUCUACAAACCUCUUCAAAUUAAACACUUUUCCGAACAAGGUGCUAUAGGGAAAUUAUAAGCUUGGUUUCAUUCAAAGAUUUUAGUGGAGUAUCAAGGAUCUAAAAUAAAAGAAGAAUUUUUUAGGGUUAACAACAAAACUUAAGAAGAGCUAAAAGAAAGAAGAUUAAAAGGGAAGGAGCUGCUGUACCAAUUAGAUGUUAAAGCGCUUUCUUGCACGGUGAGUUGAAUGAAGAGGUUUUUGUUGAUCAACCACAAGGUUAUGUAAAGAAGGGUGACGAGUUGAAGAUGUAUAAAUUGCGAAUGAAGAAUUUCAGCACAUUCUGCGUGUGUUGAACACUAACGUUGAUGGAAAGCAGAAGAUCCAGUUCGCAAUGACCUCAAUCAAGGGUAUUGGAAGAAGCUUUUAACAGCUGCUAUGUUUAUCAAGUGCCUAGUGAAUAUGAUUCUCGAGAUAUGUAUGCUUGCUAUGUCUUUUAUGAUCCUUGUGUCAAGAUAAAACCAUAUGUAAUUUGUAUUCUAUCAAAAUAAAAACUAUCAAGAAAAAAAAAAAUUAAGGUUGGGGAAAAAAUAAUACGAAUUUUCUAUUGAUUGCUUUGUAAUCUUGCCCGUGAGUAGGGACAUUAUUGUUUUGACACAAGAAGAAUGAAAUCAAUUCAAUAUCUGUUAUCAUUUGAAAAAUCAUUGUUCUUCUGAAUAUUUGGGGAUAUUGUGCAGAAAUAUAUUGGUAAUAUUACAAGCAAAAGGUGUCACUCAAACUCCUAGUCUUUUAAUCCUUCUUAAGUUUUGCUGUUAACUCUCAAAAAUUCUUUUUGCGUGAAACCAAAAAAAGCAGUGAGAGAAGAAAAAAAAAUUCAAUUAAAAAGAUAUUUAUUGUUUUGUUAUUUUGUGGUGAUAAGUGUUGACUACAAUAUAAAAUAGAAUUAAAAUCUAUUAUAUCAAUUAAUCUAAGUCAUUAAUCAAAAUUGAAAUUAAAUGUCAAGAUUUGGAGUAAGUUAUUACCAUUACUCUUGGAGUCAUCCCCCCGCUAUAUAUAUAUAUAUAUAUAUAUAUAUAUAUAGAGAGAGAGAGAGAGAGAAAGAGAGUUAA